rnacentral:rRNA from 1 species
GUGGGUAGUUUGACUGGGGCGGUCUCCUCCUAAAGAGUAACGGAGGAGCACGAAGGUUGGCUAAUCCUGGUCGGACAUCAGGAGGUUAGUGCAAUGGCAUAAGCCAGCUUGACUGCGAGCGUGACGGCGCGAGCAGGUGCGAAAGCAGGUCAUAGUGAUCCGGUGGUUCUGAAUGGAAGGGCCAUCGCUCAACGGAUAAAAGGUACUCCGGGGAUAACAGGCUGAUACCGCCCAAGAGUUCAUAUCGACGGCGGUGUUUGGCACCUCGAUGUCGGCUCAUCACAUCCUGGGGCUGAAGUAGGUCCCAAGGGUAUGGCUGUUCGCCAUUUAAAGUGGUACGCGAGCUGGGUUUAGAACGUCGUGAGACAGUUCGGUCCCUAUCUGCCGUGGGCGCUGGAGAACUGAGGGGGGCUGCUCCUAGUACGAGAGGACCGGAGUGGACGCAUCACUGGUGUUCGGGUUGUCAUGCCAAUGGCACUGCCCGGUAGCUAAAUGCGGAAG